CUUUCUUUCUAGCAAGUUCCAACUUUUGUUUAGGUGUUCCACAUUUUAUCUUCUUUCUUCUUUUGUUGCUAUAUUGUGUCUACCAGUCAUUUACAUAUAUAUGUAUGUAUGUAUGUAUAAUAUUUGUUUUGAGUUUCUGUUCCCCUCACACACACACAGUCACUCACCGUCAGCGUCACACUCACAGUCUGGGCAUGUGCUUGUGCAGCAGAAACCUUUGCUGGAUGGAAACGUUGACAAGAAGCAGCAGCAGAGAGAGAGAGAGAGAGAGAGAGAGAAAUAUGUUGUCACCACUCAGUCAAAGUGAUUUACGAUGCUGCCUGGUUUUACUGCUGCAAUGAGUGUGUUCGAAGUAUCUAUCUGAAGCGUCUGUCCAUCUGUGAAAGAUUUAUCCGUUCGACCCGACAGAUGGACGAUGCCGACAGCUACAACAGCGUCAGCGGCCGGAGCCACGCAGCAGCGGCUGCUGAUGAAAAACGCAGAAGGUUUCUGUCCUGACCCGCUGAUUUAUUAUCGUGUUGAAGCCAGCAGGGUGAGAUGACCGAUCUCACUUCCAAAGUAAUUUCAUGUUUCGAGACCCUUCCAGAAACAAUAGCCGUAUCUCAGCGCGCGGCGUGUGAGUCAGUCGAUGGGUUUCCAUUUAUGUGAUUCUUAAAAGUACAUGGACCUGAAAAUAGGUCUCUCUUUGCACCUCUGCUGCAGGAACACAGUCGCUGUGGUUUGUGGGUCCGUUCAGGGAUGUUGUAAAGCUGAUUUAUCUGCAAUGAGCAAUAAAUUUAAUUUGGGGAUCACUUCAACAAGUGUGUGUUUAUAUGUGUAGGGUUUUUUUUUGUCCCUCUGCACAUUAAAGCUGA